rnacentral:rRNA from 1 species
CGCAAUGGGCGAAAGCCUGACGGAGCAAUACCGCGUGAGGGAAGACUGCCUAUGGGUUGUAAACCUCUUUUUUCAGGGAGGAAGUAAUUGACGUGUACCUGAAGAAUAAGCAUCGGCUAACUCCGUG